rnacentral:rRNA from 1 species
AUGAGAGGUCUCAUUUGGAAUUGUAGAGGGGCAGGCAAGAAAGGAAUGGCCACCUGCCUCUCAGACUUGAUUAGUGACCAUUCCCUGGAUUUCGAAACUAUGAAGAAAAAAAUUACUCCUAAAUGCAUUAGGAGGAUUGAUCCCUUUGGUCUGUUCCAUUGGGAAUGGAUUCCAUCUAUGGGAAAAUCUGGGGGCAUCCUGGGUGGUGUGAGACAUGAUACUUUUGAUAUCGUCUCC